rnacentral:rRNA from 1 species
GGCUCAGAACGAACGCUGGCGGCGCGUCUUAAGCAUGCAAGUCGGACGGCAAGGGUUGUGCUUGCACAACUCCUAGAGUGGCGGACUGGUGAGUAACGCGUGGGUGACCUGCCCUCGAGAUGGGGAUAGCCAUUAGAAAUAGUGGAUAAUACCGAAUACGCUCAUGACCCUGUGGGGAUAUGAGGAAAACAGGCUACGGCCUGGCUCGAGGAUGGGCCCGCGUCCCAUUAGCUAGUUGGUGAGGUAACGGCCCACUAAGGCGACGAUGGGUAUCCGGCCUGAGAGGGUGUACGGACACAUUGGGACUGAGAUACGGCCCAAACUCCUACGGGAGGCAGCAGCUAAGAAUAUUCCGCAAUGGACGAAAGUCUGACGGAGCGACGCCGCGUGGAUGAAGGGAAGGCCGGAAGGUUGUAAAAUCCUUUUGCUGAUGAAGAAUAAGUGUGGUAGGGAAUGACCGCAUGAUGACAUUAGUCGGUGAAUAAGCCCCGGCUAACUACGUGCCAGCCGCCGC